rnacentral:rRNA from 1 species
GAUGAACGCUGGCGGCGUGCCUAAUACAUGCAAGUCGAACGAGGUCUUCGGACCUAGUGGCGAACGGGUGAGUAACACGUUGGUACCUACCCCGAAGUGGGGAAUAACUGCCCGAAAGGGUGGCUAAUACCGCAUAAUACCGCAAGGUUAAAGCAGUAAUGCGCUUCGGGAGGGGCCUGCGUCCCAUUAGCUAGUUGGUAGGGUAAUGGCCUACCAAGGCGACGAUGGGUAGCUGGAUCGAGAGGUUGACCAGCCACACUGGGACUGAGAUACGGCCCAGACUCCUACGGGAGGCAGCAGUAAGGAAUCUUCCACAAUGGACGAAAGUCUGAUGGAGCAACGCCGCGUGCAGGAUGACGGCCUUCGGGUUGUAAACUGCUUUUAUACGGGAAGAUUAAGACGGUACCGUAUGAAUAAGGACCGGCUAACUACGUGCCAGCAGCCGCGGUAA